AGAGUUUGAUCCUGGCUCAGGAUGAACGCUGGCGGCGUGCUUAACACAUGCAAGUCGAACGAACCUUCGGGUUAGUGGCGGACGGGUGAGUAACGCGUGGGAAUCUGCCCUCAGGAGGGGGAUAACGGCUGGAAACGGCCGCUAAUACCCCAUAUGCCGAGAGGUGAAAGGAAAUUCGCCUGAGGAUGAGCCCGCGUCUGAUUAGCUAGUUGGUGGGGUAAGAGCUCACCAAGGCGACGAUCAGUAGCUGGUCUGAGAGGAUGAUCAGCCACACUGGGACUGAGACACGGCCCAGACUCCUACGGGAGGCAGCAGUGGGGAAUUUUCCGCAAUGGGCGAAAGCCUGACGGAGCAACGCCGCGUGAGGGAUGAAGGCCUCUGGGCUGUAAACCUCUUUUCUCAAGGAAGAAGACAUGACGGUACUUGAGGAAUAAGCCACGGCUAAUUCCGUGCCAGCAGCCGCGGUAAUACGGGAGUGGCAAGCGUUAUCCGGAAUUAUUGGGCGUAAAGCGUCCGCAGGCGGCCCUGUAAGUCUGUCGUUAAAGCGUGGAGCUUAACUCCAUUUAAGCGAUGGAAACUACAGGGCUUGAGUGUGGUAGGGGCAGAGGGAAUUCCCGGUGUAGCGGUGAAAUGCGUAGAUAUCGGGAAGAACACCAGUGGCGAAGGCGCUCUGCUGGGCCAUAACUGACGCUCAUGGACGAAAGCCAGGGGAGCGAAAGGGAUUAGAUACCCCUGUAGUCCUGGCCGUAAACGAUGAACACUAGGUGUCGGGGGAAUCGACCCCCUCGGUGUCGUAGCCAACGCGUUAAGUGUUCCGCCUGGGGAGUACGCACGCAAGUGUGAAACUCAAAGGAAUUGACGGGGGCCCGCACAAGCGGUGGAGUAUGUGGUUUAAUUCGAUGCAACGCGAAGAACCUUACCAGGGUUUGACAUCCUGCGAAUCCCUUGGAAACGAGGGAGUGCCUUCGGGAGCGCAGAGACAGGUGGUGCAUGGCUGUCGUCAGCUCGUGUCGUGAGAUGUUGGGUUAAGUCCCGCAACGAGCGCAACCCACGUCUUUAGUUGCCAGCAUUCAGUUGGGCACUCUAGAGAGACCGCCGGUGAUAAACCGGAGGAAGGUGUGGAUGACGUCAAGUCAUCAUGCCCCUUACAUCCUGGGCUACACACGUACUACAAUGCUACGGACAAAGGGCAGCAAGCUCGCGAGAGUUAGCAAAUCCCAUAAACCGUAGCUCAGUUCAGAUCGUAGGCUGCAACUCGCCUACGUGAAGGAGGAAUCGCUAGUAAUCGCAGGUCAGCAUACUGCGGUGAAUACGUUCCC
rnacentral:rRNA from 1 species